rnacentral:rRNA from 1 species
GACGAACGCUGGCGGCGUGCUUAACACAUGCAAGUCGAACGGAAAGGCCCUGCUUUUGUGGGGUGCUCGAGUGGCGAACGGGUGAGUAACACGUGAGUAACCUGCCCUUGACUUUGGGAUAACUUCAGGAAACUGGGGCUAAUACCGGAUAGGAGCUCCUGCUGCAUGGUGGGGGUUGGAAAGUUUCGGCGGUUGGGGAUGGACUCGCGGCUUAUCAGCUUGUUGGUGGGGUAGUGGCUUACCAAGGCUUUGACGGAUAGCCGGCCUGAGAGGGUGAACGGCGACAUGGGGACUGAGGUACGGACCAGAGUCGAAUGGUGGGCAGUGGGGGGAAGUCUGGCACAAGGGGCGGGAGUCUGAGGCGACAACGCCGGGUGCGGAAAGACGGCCUUCGGGUUGUGAACCGCAGUAGCCUGUGACGAAGCGGGAGUGACGGUAAUGGGUAAAGAAGCACCGGCUAACUACGUG